rnacentral:rRNA from 1 species
UGAUACGCGAGAAACCUUACCUAGGCUUAAAUGUCAGGUGACGAAUGCCGAAAGGUGUUUUCCCUUCGGGGCAACUGGCAAGGUGCUGCAUGACUGUCGUCAGCUCGUGCCGUGAGGUGUUGGGUUAAGUCCCGCAACGAGCGCAACCCCCGUCUUUAGUUGCUAACAGGUAAUGCUGAGGACUCUGAAGAAACUGCCUACGCAAGUAGUGAGGAAGGCGGGGACGACGUCAAGUCAUCAUGGCCCUUACGCCUAGGGCUACACACGUGCUACAAUGGAUGGUACAAUGAGAUGCCAGCUGGUAACAGUGCGCAAACCUCAAAAAGCCAUUCUCAGUUCGGAUUGAGGUCUGCAACUCGACCUCAUGAAGCUGGAUUCGCUAGUAAUCGUAUAUCAGCAUUGAUA